rnacentral:rRNA from 1 species
UAAUACGGAGGGUCCGAGCGUUAUCCGGAAUCAUUGGGUUUAAAGGGUCCGUAGGCGGGAAUCUAAGUCAGUGGUGAAAUCUUGCAGCUCAACUGUAAAAUUGCCAUUGAUACUGGAUUUCUUGAAUUAGCGUGAAGUGAUUAGAAUGUGUAGUGUAGCGGUGAAAUGCAUAGAUAUUACACAGAAUACCAAUUGCGAAGGCAGGUCACUAACACUAUAUUGACGCUGAGGGACGAAAGCGUGGGGAGCGAACAGGAUUAGAUACCCUGGUAGUCCACGCCGUAAACGAUGGAUACUAGCUGUUCGAUCUUCGGAUUGAGUGGCUAAGCGAAAGUGAUAAGUAUCCCACCUGGGGAGUACGUUCGCAAGAAUG